AACGAACGCUGGCGGCGUGCCUAACACAUGCAAGUCGAACGUGAUUAGAGAGCUUGCUCUCUAUGAAAGUGGCGCACGGGGGAGUAACGCGCAGAUAAUCUGCCUGGUGAUUUGGGAUAACACUUCGAAAGGGGUGCUAAUACCGAAUAAGCCCACGGAGUCCUUGGACUCUGCGGGAAAAGGAGGGGACCUUCGGGCCUUCCGUCAUCAGAUGAGCCUGCGUACCAUUAGCUAGUUGGUAGGGUAAAGGCCUACCAAGGCGACGAUGGUUAGCUGGUCUGAGAGGAUGAUCAGCCACACUGGAACUGAGACACGGUCCAGACGCCUACGGGAGGCAGCAGUGGGGAAUUUUGCGCAAUGGGGGAAACCCUGACACAGCAACGCCGCGUGAGUGAUGAAGGCCCUUGGGUCGUAAAGCUCUGACAGAGGGAAAGAAAUGUGGGUGGCUAAUAUCCAUUCCACUUGACGGUACCCUCAAAGGAAGCACCGGCUAACUCCGUGCCAGCAGCCGCCGUAAUAC
rnacentral:rRNA from 1 species